UGUCCAAGCUACUUAGGAGUCUGAGGUGUGAAGAUCACUUGGGCUCAGGAGUUUGAGACCAGC
rnacentral:precursor_RNA from 1 species